GGGCUAGGUUCACCCAGGUGUUUUGUACAGCUGAAUGGUUGCCAUAGAGACUAAAGGAUUUCUCAAACAUGCAGGAAUCAGAGCAACACUGCUGGACUGUUUCUGAUGAUGGAAUAGCAUAAUAUGAUAAUUUUACAUAAAACUGUCCCUUUAAUAAUCACAGUGAUGUGAAAAAAUAGAUUUUAUGAUGCAUUUUGUAUAAAUUUAGACAUAUGGAUGGAUUAAUAAACAAAACUGCUGCAGUUGAGGUUUAUCCUGUUUGGAUCUCAGAUGUUCAGUUUGUUGCCUCAACAACCAGAACCCGUACAGAACCAUUCAUGAACAAAAACAUGACUGAACUUUCUGCUUCUAUAAGCAGCUGCUGAUGAAAUCCAGUCAGUUCCUGGAUACUUUAAUCACUAAUUCAUAAUAAAUCUUAAUAUUUUCUGUUGCUUCAUGUGAAGUUUAGUGAAGAAUCCAGAGUUUUCUUUCUUCUGCCACCUUGAAACUGAGUCACUGGAUUUAUUUUCUGUCCCGCUGCAGUUAGCGGUUCGUCAGUCAGCUGCUCAGUCAGCUCCUCCCUGAGGAUAUUGUUGCUCUUCAAGAGAUUAACAGACAUGUUUUAUUUGAUGCAGCCUUCAUGUUCCAGAUUCCCUCCACAGAAAAAAAUCCUUUCAGGGUCUGGAGUAGAAAACUGAGCUUAAAUCUUUGGUUUUACAUCCUU